rnacentral:tRNA from 1 species
AGAAACUUAGGAUAACCACCACGAAACCGGAGGCCUUCAAAGCCUCAAACAAGAGCUAAAAUCUCUUAGUUUCUG